rnacentral:rRNA from 1 species
ACACACCGCCCGUCACACCAUGGGAGUCAGUAACGCCCGAAGCCGGUGACCCAACCAGGAAUGGAGGGAGCCGUCGAAGGCGGGAUUGGUAACUGGGGUGAAGUCGUAACAAGGUACC